rnacentral:rRNA from 1 species
GUUUGAUCCUGGCUCAGGAUGAACGCUGGCGGCGUGCCUAAUACAUGCAAGUCGAACGAGGUGCUUUUGUAGCAAUACGAAAGUAUCCUAGUGGCGAACGGGUGAGUAACGCGUUGGUGACCUGCCCCAAAGUGUGGGAUAACAGUCCGAAAGGAUUGCUAAUACCUCAUGUGGUCAUCGGGUUUAGAAACCGAUGACUAAAGCAGCAAUGCGCUUUGGGAGGGGCCUGCGUCCCAUCAGCUAGUUGGUGAGGUAAUGGCUCACCAAGGCGACGACGGGUAGGGGACCUGAGAGGGUGGCCCCCCACAAUGGAACUGAAACACGGUCCAUACACCUACGGGUGGCAGCAGUAGGGAAUAUUGCUCAAUGGGCGAAAGCCUGAAGCAGCAACGCCGCGUGCGCGAUGAAGGUCUUCGGAUCGUAAAGCGCUUUUAUGAGGGAUGAGAAAGGACAGUACCUCAGGAAUAAGUCUCGGCUAACUACGUGCCAGCAGCCGCGGUAAAACGUAGGAGGCAAGCGUUAUCCGGAUUCACUGGGCGUAAAGCGCGUGCAGGCGGUUCGGUAAGUUGGGCGUGAAAUCUCCUGGCUUAACUGGGAGAGGUCGUCCAAUACUACCGGACUUGAGAGUGAUAGAGGAAGAUGGAAUUCCCGGUGUAGUGGUGAAAUGCGUAGAUAUCGGGAGGAACACCAGUGGCGAAAGCGAUCUUCUGGAUCAUUUCUGACGCUCAGACGCGAAAGCUAGGGUAGUAAACGGGAUUAGAGACCCCGGUAAUCCUAGCCGUAAACGAUGUAAACUUGGCGUUGGUGGCUUAAACACCAUCAGUGCCGCAGCUAACGCGAUAAGUUUACCGCCUGGGGACUACGAUCGCAAGAUUAAAACUCAAAGGAAUUGACGGGGGCCCGCACAAGCAGCGGAGCGUGUGGUUUAAUUCGAUGCUACACGAGAACCUUACCCGGGUUUGACAUGCAAGUGGUAGUGAUCUGAAAGUGACGACC